UCUAGAAAUCUUCGGAUAUUACGCCCCUCUUUGUGUUUAGGGGACAGUGCGCUGAGAUUGUGACUUUGAUGUCACCGACACUGGUAAGAUAAGCUAGCUUUUCCACUUGGUCUUUGGUGUUCGAGCAGGAGCGUGACGCAAUGCAUUGUCAUGCGCACGCGCACUCAGUUGCUGUAACGCCCCUUUGAUAGGACGUAUAUAUUAGUGUGUUCCGUUCAAUAAAGGCUUUUUCUUUUUACACACUUUAGUGUGCAAACCACGUGGUAUCAGAAGUGGUUGGACUGCGGCCAAUGUACGCAGCAGGUGAAAGAAUAGCGGACGGGUAGCAAGCAAACAAGGGCGGCUCGAAGGUCGGAAAUAGUACGAGAAUGCAGAACGGGGAACAGCAACAGCGGCAGGCAGACCAGCGCCCCAGUCACCACGCUACUGCCACCGCCGAGAGUCCUGGACACCACAGGAGACGUAUGUCAAAGUUGGAAGACGUGGCGGCAGGAGUUCGAGCUCUUUGCAACGGCAACCCAAAAAGAUACUUAUGGGCCGACUGACAAGGACGCUGCUACCAGUCACAGGAAGCCACCUGCGACCGCAAACCAUACGCCUUCAAGGCGUGCAACGGCGGCUCCACGACAUCAGGAAUAAACAACGUUCAUUCUACAACCGAGGCACAUGGCCUUUACCAGGACUUUCUGAUGGCUCCCGCGUCACUGUAUACAGCGUGCCAUCAAAACCCCGCUCCCCUGCUACAGUUGUCAAGCCUGCCAACAGCCCGAGAGCCUACAUUAUCGAGACCGAAGAUGGGCUCCAGUUGCAGCGCACCAGAGAACAACUCCGUUUAGCACUCACUCCUGCGGCAGACUCAUUGGCGCCCACACAAGAACAUCGACUCACGGUGGGAACUACAGAGCCACAAUUGCGUAGAAGCGAACGCAACUGCCUGCCACCACGAGAAUACCCUAUGCCAGAGCGUGAGUGAUUUGGAUUUAAUAAAAAAAGAUGUGAUGCAAUGCACACGCGCACUCAGCUGGCUGUAACGCCCCCUUUGGGAGUAUGUAUACAAGAGUGUGUUCCGUUCAAUAAAGGCUUUUUUUUUUUUU